rnacentral:rRNA from 2 species
AUACCCGCUGAACUUAAGCAUAUCAAUAAGCGGAGGAAAAGAAACCAACAGGGAUUGCCUCAGUAACGGCGAGUGAAGCGGCAAUAGCUCAAAUUUGAAAUCUGGCUCUUUCAGAGUCCGAGUUGUAAUUUGUAGAGGAUGCUUCGGCUUACGUUUCGGUCUAAGUUCCUUGGAACAGGACGUCACAGAGGGUGAGAAUCCCGUUUGUGGCCGAGACUUCCGCCAUGUGAAGCUCCUUCGACGAGUCGAGUUGUUUGGGAAUGCAGCUCUAAAUGGGAGGUAUAUUUCUUCUAAAGCUAAAUACCGGCCAGAGACCGAUAGCGCACAAGUAGAGUGAUCGAAAGAUGAAAAGCACUUUGGAAAGAGAGUUAAAAAGUACGUGAAAUUGUUGAAAGGGAAGCGCUUGCGACCAGACUUGCCCGCGGAUGCUCAACCGGUCCUUCGGCCGGUGCACUCUUCCGCGGUCAGGCCAGCAUCAGUUCGAGCGGUCGGAUAAAGGCCUUGGGAAUGUGGCUCUCUUCGGGGAGUGUUAUAGCCCUUGGUGUAAUACGGCCCGCUUGGACUGAGGCCCGCGCUUCGGCUAGGAUGCUGGCGUAAUGGUCGUAAGCGGCCCGUCUUG